CCCUGCUGGAGAGGAGACAGAAAAAGAAAAAAAAAGAAAAAACCGCUCUGUUCAUUUGCAUUGGACUGCCAAGCGAAGAGCAGCUAAUGCAAUGACUGGCGCAUGCGUGGUGCAGAGAUAAGGGGGCGCACCGGCCAAAGAAGGUAUUGCAAUUUAGCGAGGGAAAGAAAACAAGCCACCCUCCCCCAUUGUUUCAGCCGUGGCCAAUCAUAUGGGAGGAAUUUCCCUCCCCCCGUUUUGUUGUAGUUCUGACCAAUUGUGUAG